rnacentral:lncRNA from 1 species
AUGGGAGAGCUGAAAAGCAAGGUCUCCUCAGAGGGUCCUGCUGCUCUAAGCAUCUGUCCAAGCAGCAAAGAUCCUUUGUGUGUGCUCUUCAAGCUGAGAUUACUAAAUAGCCACUUGUCUUCAGCUGCAGAGACUCUAGAGAUGCUUUCAGACACCAGAGAUGGAGGAGUAACAGUCGCAAGCAAGAGCCUGUGUGCAGUACCCAGCAGUGAGAAGACAAAGAUUACGCCUCCCUCCAAGAGUUCACCAUCCAGCCUUCCUUGUGUUGGAGAGACUUGGACAGAUCUUGGAGCUUUUUUCCUUUAUUAG